rnacentral:lncRNA from 1 species
GCCGGCCGUGGCCCAGCCGGUUACACGUUCCACUCGCGCUCGCAAAGCCCAGGCGGCCCUGCAGCCCUGGCAGGCUGGGAGCCGAGGGCGGGCAUCCUCAUUCCACCCAUUGGAGGAAAUUUUGGAGCUGAUCAGAAUCCGUCUGUGCCCCCUUGAGAUCCCGCUGGCUGAGAUUUAUGCUCGCGGCCAGGCCCUGCUGAUCCUCUGGCGCUGACCACAGGGGAGGAGGCAGCUCUCGUCGGUUCUCUGCAGAAGGCAGUGAGACACUCCAGAGAAUGUUUGUGGAAAGGGCGAAUGAGCACGGAAGCAGCUGGAGGGAGAGGACAGAGGGAAACCAAAAAGCCACUAGAGCAGGAAUUGUCCUAAACAACUUAAUAGCGGCUCAAGUGUCACCUUGAAAUGUGCUUUCACUAGUGACAUGGUUUGUUAGCUCCCAUAUCAUCCUCUGGCGUGGUGUUUACCUUCAGGUAAAUUCUUCAGAAAUAAUGCAGUUGAAACUUUGUGAGUUCUUGCAUGUCAUGAAAUGAGAAUGACUGUUUCCCAUUCUGAGUUGAUAGCCUUUAUAUGACACCCUUGAUGCAAAACUGUAUUUCCUCAGAAAUUUGCUGCUGCGAAGGCUGGUGCAGUUGAGUUUUAUUUCCUGUGGGUGACCUGUUCUUGCUCUCCAGAAGAUUUAGAAUAUUAUUUUAUUGUUGGUGCCCUGAAGUUUCACAAUGAUCUAUCUUGAGUCUGGGUCUUUAAAAAUGAGGACUAUAUUUAAGACAUAUGAA